GAAGAAACCGCCCAACGACAGUAAGGACGCAUACAGUGCCACGGAUGCUCAUUUGUAAUUCCUUAAAAAUGAGAGCAAAAGAACGCUUUUCAAUGGUUUUGUCAAAAGUGGUGAAAAGGUGGCGAAUCGGGUCCCUGCCGCAUGGCCUGCCUGGAGCACUGUGCUGCGUGUUCACAUUCUGUCCUUCGUCUUCACAAUGGCUCUGGUGGGUGAGUUAACUGAGAGCAUCAUCGUAUUGAGAGCUUUUUUCUGAGUAUUCAGUAACUCACUCAUUCUCCGUGGACUAUAUUCUGAUCCAGCUCAGACUGAAGCUUAAGUCAUUAGGGAAAAGAAAUCAGCCAUCUAUUUUUUUUUCCUAUAUCAAGUAAUACUUGGAAUCCAGCCCUCUACUCCACUCCUAAUAUAACUAAAAUCUCAGCUCUAACCCCCAGUGGAUUCACACUUAAUGGCUAUAUAUGUGUGCUAUUCAUCGCUGUUUAUCUUCUACUUAACCAAUGCCUGGGAAGUGGCAUUUGUAGAGUGAAUGAAUGGAAGGAUGGAGAGAUAGAUGACAGCUCUCUGGGGGGACAGAGGGAAGGAUGCAAAGGAGGGAGUGAGGAGGCGACGAAAGAGGAAGAGAUGGAGAACACCAAUCUUUUUUUCCUUGUUGUAGUCACUAUAAAUCACCCCCAGUCUGUGACUCUCAUUUGGAAGAAGUGCAAAAUAAAAAUAAUCUAAGGUAUGCAAAGCUUACAAAUUUAUUAGCAGCUUGUGCAGUAAGUUUCUUUUAAUGCGUCUGUGGCAAUACUAGCAACAAA
rnacentral:lncRNA from 1 species